rnacentral:rRNA from 1 species
GUCUACCGCCAUGCACCCUGAACAAGCCUGAUGUCUGAUCUCAGAAGCUAAGCAGGAUAGGGCCUGGUUAGUACUUGGAUGAGAGACCACCUAGGAAGACCAGGUGCUGCAGGCA